AGAGUUUGAUCCUGGCUCAGGAUGAACGCUGACAGAAUGCUUAACACAUGCAAGUCAACUUGAACUUCGGUUUGGGUGGCGGACGGGUGAGUAACGCGUAAAGAACUUGCCUCACAGAUAGGGACAACAUUUGGAAACGAAUGCUAAUACCUGAUAUUAUGAUUUUAGGGCAUCCUAGGAUUAUGAAAGCUAUAUGCGCUGUGAGAGAGCUUUGCGUCCCAUUAGCUAGUUGGAGAGGUAACGGCUCACCAAGGCGAUGAUGGGUAGCCGGCCUGAGAGGGUGAUCGGCCACAAGGGGACUGAGACACGGCCCUUACUCCUACGGGAGGCAGCAGUGGGGAAUAUUGGACAAUGGACCAAGAGUCUGAUCCAGCAAUUCUGUGUGCACGAUGAAGUUUUUCGGAAUGUAAAGUGCUUUCAGUUGGGAAGAAAAAAAUGACGGUACCAACAGAAGAAGUGACGGCUAAAUACGUGCCAGCAGCCGCGGUAAUACGUAUGUCACAAGCGUUAUCCGGAUUUAUUGGGCGUAAAGCGCGUCUAGGUGGUUAUAUAAGUCUGAUGUGAAAAUGCAGGGCUCAACUCUGUAUUGCGUUGGAAACUGUGUAACUAGAGUACUGGAGAGGUAAGCGGAACUACAAGUGUAGAGGUGAAAUUCGUAGAUAUUUGUAGGAAUGCCGAUGGGGAAGCCAGCUUACUGGACAGAUACUGACGCUGAAGCGCGAAAGCGUGGGUAGCAAACAGGAUUAGAUACCCUGGUAGUCCACGCCGUAAACGAUGAGUGCUAAGUGUUGGAGGGUUUCCGCCCUUCAGUGCUGCAGUUAACGCAUUAAGCACUCCGCCUGGGGAGUACGACCGCAAGGUUGAAACUCAAAGGAAUUGACGGGGACCCGCACAAGCGGUGGAGCAUGUGGUUUAA
rnacentral:rRNA from 1 species